rnacentral:rRNA from 1 species
UAGGGAAUAUUGGACAAUGGGUGAGAGCCUGAUCCAGCCAUGCCGCGUGCAGGAAGAAGGCGUUAUGCGUUGUAAACUGCUUUUUGCCAGGGGAUAAAAAGACCGUGCGCGGUUAAUUGAAGGUACCUGGUGAAUAAGCCACGGCUAACUACGUGCCAGCAGCCGCGGUAAUACGUAGGUGGCAAGCGUUGUCCGGAUUUAUUGGGUUUAAAGGGUGCGUAGGUGGCCCUGUAAGUCAGUGGUGAAAUAUCUCAGCUUAACUGAGAGGGUGCCAUUGAUACUGCAGGGCUUGAGUACAGAUGAAGUAGGCGGAAUUGACGGUGUAGCGGUGAAAUGCAUAGAUAUCGUCAAGAACACCGAUAGCGAAGGCAGCUUACUAAGCUGUAACUGACGCUGAGGCACGAAAGUGUGGGGAUCAAACAGGAUUAGAUACCCACGUAGUCCCUGAGCGGGCUGGCAAGGCGCAU